rnacentral:misc_RNA from 1 species
GCAAACUUGGUCAUUUAGAGGAAGUAAAAGUCGUAACAAGGUCUCCGUAGGUGAACCUGCGGAGGGAUCAUCAAAGAAUACUUUUAACAAGGAUUUAUCUCUCUUUCUUACAAGAAGAGGGGAGGGGAGGAUAGGUUCUUGUUAAAAACAUAACAAACAAAUAUAUACAUGACUAGGAAAAAAGAAGAAGUUGAGAGAGAGGGGGGGGGAUUAUAUAAGAAAAGUUCUUGGCUGAUAAGAAGAAACUAUUUGAUUUGGUUUGAGAGAAGAAGAAAUAUAACUUUCAACAACGGAUCUCUUGGCUCUCACAUCGAUGAAGAACGCAGC